rnacentral:misc_RNA from 1 species
UACGAGGGCCCCAAGCGUUAUCCGGAAUUACUGGGCGUAAAGAGUGUGUAGGUGGUGUAGGUUAGUCUCGCGUUAAAAACCAGAGCUCAACUCUGGCCUCGCGCGAGAAACGGCCUCACUAGAGGGCAGGAGAGGUAUGCGGAACUCACGGUGUAGGGGUGAAAUCCGUUGAUAUCGUGGGGAACACCAAAGGGGAAGCCAGCAUACUGGAAUGUUCCUGACACUGAGACACGAAACCCUGGGUAGCGAAAGGG